rnacentral:rRNA from 1 species
UGGGGGAUAUUGCGCAAUGGGGGCAACCCUGACGCAGCAACGCCGCGUGAAGGAUGAAGGUUUUCGGAUUGUAAACUUCUUUUAUUAAGGACGAAACUUGACGGUACUUAAUGAAUAAGCUCCGGCUAACUACGUGCCAGCAGCCGCGGUAAUACGUAGGGAGCAAGCGUUGUCCGGAUUUACUGGGUGUAAAGGGUGCGUAGGCGGCUUUGCAAGUCAGAUGUGAAAUCUAUGGGCGCAACCCAUAAACUGCAUUUGAAACUGUAGAGC